UUUCUUUUAUGGAGAGUUUGAUCCUGGCUCAGGACGAACGCUGGCGGCGUGCCUAAUACAUGC
rnacentral:rRNA from 1 species